rnacentral:rRNA from 1 species
AACGCGAAGAACCUUACCCAGGCUCGAAAUGUAGAAUAUCGCAGCAGAGAUGUUGUUUCCCGUAAGGGAUUCUAUAUAGGUGCUGCAUGGCUGUCGUCAGCUCGUGCCGUGAGGUGUUGGGUUAAGUCCCGCAACGAGCGCAACCCUUAUUGUCAGUUGCCAACGCGUAAUGGCGGGGACUCUGGCAAGACUGCCUAGGUUAACUAGGAGGAAGGUGAGGAUGACGUCAAGUCCGCAUGGCCUUUAUGUCUGGGGCUACACACGUGCUACAAUGGUCGGUACAGAAGGCAGCGAAACCGCGAGGUGGAGCAAAUCCGAAAAAACCGAUCUCAGUUCGGAUUGGAGUCUGCAAUUUGACUCCAUGAAGUUGGAAUUGCUAGUAAUGGCGUGUCAGCAAUAGCGCCGUGAAUACGUUCCCGGGCCUUGUACACACCGGAGUA